CCUACGGGGGGCUGCAGUUUCGAAUCAUUCACAAUGGGCGAAAGCCUGAUGGUGCGACGCCGCGUGAGGGAUGAAGGUCUUCGGAUUGUAAACCUCUGUCACUGGGGAGAAAACGCUUUGAGUUAAUAGUUCAAAGCCUGAUUUAACCCGGAGAGGAAGCAGUGGCUAACUCUGUGCCAGCAGCCGCGGUAAUACAGAGACUGUAAGCGUUAGUCGAGUGUGCUGAGGCUAUUGGGUGUGCAAGCUGUGGAAUCCCGAGGCUUAACCUCGGAACUGCGUCUGAAACUACUCGACUAGAGUACUGGAGAGGGAAACGGAAUUCACGGUGUAGCAGUGAAAUGCGUAGAGAUCGUGAGGAACACCAGAGGCGAAGGCGGUUUCCUGGACAGUUACUGACGCUCAGGCACGAAAGCAUGGGGAGCAAAAGGGAUUAGAUACCCCUGUAGUC
rnacentral:rRNA from 1 species